GGAAACGUGGCAGAGUUGUCGAUUGCACCGUCUUGGAAAGGCGGCGGACAUGUGAAUGUCCCUCAAGUUCAAAUCCUGUCUCUUCCGCCA
rnacentral:tRNA from 1 species